GACGGAGGGUGCUAGCGUUGUUCGGAAUGACUGGGCGUAAAGGGCGCGUAGGCGGCGCUGCAAGUCAGGCGUGAAAUUCCUGGGCUUAACCUGGGGGCUGCGCUUGAGACUGUGGUGCUAGAGGACGGAAGAGGCUCGUGGAAUUCCCAGUGUAGAGGUGAAAUUCGUAGAUAUUGGGAAGAACACCGGUGGCGAAGGCGGCGAGCUGGUCCGUUACUGACGCUGAGGCGCGACAGCGUGGGGAGCAAACAGG
rnacentral:rRNA from 1 species